UCUAAUCAGUGAAACUGAUCUUCCCGUGAAGAAGCGGGAAUAAAUUUAUAAGACGAGAAGACCCCAUGGAGCUUUAAACUAGCUUCACAUCUAUUUUACAUACCUUCAAACUAAAUAGAACACUGCCUGCUCAGCUUUAGGUUGGGGUGACCGCGGAACACAACAUAACUUCCACGAUGUACAAACUAUUUUUUAUCUAAGAAUAACUAUUCUAAGAAUUAGCAUUCUAACAUAUGAUGACCCGAUAAUCGAUCAACGGACUAAGUUACCCUGGGGAUAACAGCGCAAUCCAUUUCAAGAGCCCCUAUCGACAAAUGGGUUUACGACCUC
rnacentral:rRNA from 1 species